ACAGGCUUAACACAUGCAAGUCGAGGGGAAACGAUAGAGAAAGCUUGCUUUUUCUAGGCGUCGACCGGCGCACGGGUGAGUAACGCGUAUCCAACCUGCCCAUCACUUGGGGAUAACCUUGCGAAAGUAAGACUAAUACCCAAUGAUAUCUCUAGAAGACAUCUGAAGGAGAUUAAAGAUUUAUCGGUGAUGGAUGGGGAUGCGUCUGAUUAGCUUGUUGGCGGGGUAACGGCCCACCAAGGCGACGAUCAGUAGGGGUUCUGAGAGGAAGGUCCCCCACAUUGGAACUGAGACACGGUCCAAACUCCUACGGGAGGCAGCAGUGAGGAAUAUUGGUCAAUGGGCGAGAGCCUGAACCAGCCA
rnacentral:rRNA from 1 species